UCCAGAGUCACUGGCUGCGUCCUACA
rnacentral:piRNA from 1 species